AUGGGUGGUGUUGGCUCACCCAGGGGGUAGUGUAAUGGGUGGUGUUGGCUCACCCAGGGGGUAGUGUAAUGGGUGGUGUUAGCUCACCCAGGGGGUAGUGUAAUGGGUGGUGUUAACUCACCCAGGGGGUAGUGUAAUGGGUGGUGUUAACUCACCCAGGGGGUAGUGUAAUGGGUGGUGUUAACUCACCCAGGGGGUAGUGUAAUGGGUGGUGUUAA